CAUCAUGCAUAAAAUGCUUUCUGAUACGUAGAUGAACACUCGUAUUUACUAAUUAGCAGACCUGUAUAUAUUAUAUAUUACAGAUAAACUUCAAAAAUACUUAUCUUCCAUCUAGCAAUCCAGUAUCAGACUCUCUUAAAUUAUUUGCUGAAAAUGAAAUGAUGCUUACCGUAUCAUGGCAAUGAUAGCGAGACGAAACUUGGCGUAAGUUAUUUCCUUUGGGAAAUUCAAAUUACCCGAAGACACUCGCCUUUGUACAUAUGCAACAUAAUAUUUGUACAUAGGUAAACUGAACAAGAAUAAAAAAGAAAAAACAU